rnacentral:rRNA from 1 species
GACGAACGCUGGCGGCGUGCUUAACACAUGCAAGUCGAACGGAAAGGCCCUGCUUUUGUGGGGUGCUCGAGUGGCGAACGGGUGAGUAACACGUGAGUAACCUGCCCUUGACUUUGGGAUAACUUCAGGAAACUGGGGCUAAUACCGGAUAGGAGCUCCUGCUGCAUGGUGGGGGUUGGAAAGUUUCGGCGGUUGGGGAUGGACUCGCGGCUUAUCAGCUUGUUGGUGGGGUAGUGGCUUACCAAGGCUUUGACGGGUAGCCGGCCUGAGAGGGUGACCGGCCACAGUGGGACUGAUGUACGGCCCAGACUCCUACGGGAGGCAGCAGUGGAGAAUAUUGCACAAUGGGCGGAAGCCUGAGGCAACAACGCCGCGUGCGGGAUGACGGCCUUCGGGUUGUAAACCGCUUUGGCCUGUGACGAAGCGUGAGUGACGGUAAUGGGUAAAGAAGCACCGGCUAACUACGUG